UCUGAAAAUCAGAUAAUGAAGUUCAAGAUCAGCAAGGCCUGCGAUCUGAGCUCCAUUUCUGUCCUUCCACCACAUUCUAGGAGAGGAAAUGCAAUCCCACCAGGAGCAGAUACUUCAGUUUUUGGUAAAAGCCAAGGUUCUUCGUAGUUCCGGUCGCAUUCGCAACAGUCAUUUUCACAGGGCAUGUCAAUGUCUCAGCUCUCACGGAAUUCUCAAGAGGAAAUUGUGACAAAUGAACAUGUAGGGAACUUAGAUAUUGCCUUAAUUUUCCAGAUAUUUUACAUGAAUUUAUGAUACAUUUUAUUUUCAUUUCCUGCUAAUAUGACAUUAUGAUGAAAUUUAAAAAAAUUAAAUAAAAAUCGCAUUUUCUA